UACGAAGGGGGCUAGCGUUGUUCGGAAUUACUGGGCGUAAAGGGCGCGUAGGCGGUUCGUCACGUCGGGAGUGAAAACUCGGGGCUUAACCCCGAGCCUGCUUCCGAUACGGGCAGACUAGAGGUAGGCAGGGGAGAGCGGAACUCCUGGUGUAGCGGUGGAAUGCGCAGAUAUCAGGAAGAACACCGGUGGCGAAGGCGGCUCUCUGGGCCUUACCUGACGCUGAGGAGCGAAAGCGUGGGUAGCGAACAGG
rnacentral:rRNA from 1 species